rnacentral:rRNA from 1 species
AUCUGCGAAAAGCGUCGGUAAGGUGAUAUGAACCGUUAUAACCGGCGAUGUCCGAAUGGGGAAACCCAGUGCAAUUCGUUGCACUAUCGUUAACUGAAUACAUAGGUUAACGAGGCGAACCGGGGGAACUGAAACAUCUAAGUACCCCGAGGAAAAGAAAUCAACCGAGAUUCCCCCAGUAGCGGCGAGCGAACGGGGAGCAGCCCAGAGUCUGAAUCAGCUUGUGUGUUAGUGGAACGGUCUGGAAAGUCCGACGGUACAGGGUGAUAGUCCCGUACACCAAAAUGCACAGGCUGUGAACUCGAAGAGUAGGGCGGGACACGUGGUAUCCUGUCUGAAUAUGGGGGGACCAUCCUCCAAGGCUAAAUACUCCUGACUGACCGAUAGUGAACCAGUACCGUGAGGGAAAGGCGAAAAGAACCCCGGCGAGGGGAGUGAAAAAGAACCUGAAACCGUGUACGUACAAGCAGUGGGAGCACCUUCGGGUGUGACUGCGUACCUUUUGUAUAAUGGGUCAGCGACUUAUAUUCUGUAGCAAGGUUAACCGUAUAGGGGAGCCGCAGGGAAACCGAGUCUUAACUGGGCGUUAAGUUGCAGGGUAUAGACCCGAAACCCGGUGAUCUAGCCAUGGGCAGGUUGAAGGUUGGGUAACACUAACUGGAGGACCGAACCGACUAAUGUUGAAAAAUUAGCGGAUGACUUGUGGCUGGGGGUGAAAGGCCAAUCAAACCGGGAGAUAGCUGGUUCUCCCCGAAAGCU